UACGUAGGGUGCAAGCGUUGUCCGGAAUUAUUGGGCGUAAAGAGCUCGUAGGCGGUCUGUCGCGUCUGCUGUGAAAACCCGCGGCUUAACUGCGGGCUUGCGGUUGAUACGGGCGGGCUAGAGUUCGGUAGGGGAGACUGGAAUUCCUGGUGUAGCGGUGAGAUGCGCAGAUAUCAGGAGGAACACCGGUGGCGAAGGCGGGUCUCUGGGCCGAUACUGACGCUGAGGAGCGAAAGCGUGGGGAGCGAACAGG
rnacentral:rRNA from 1 species